AAAUUGAAGAGUUUGAUCAUGGCUCAGAUUGAACGCUGGCGGCAGGCCUAACACAUGCAAGUCGAGCGGUAGCACAGAGAGCUUGCUCUCGGGUGACGAGCGGCGGACGGGUGAGUAAUGUCUGGGAAACUGCCUGAUGGAGGGGGAUAACUACUGGAAACGGUAGCUAAUACCGCAUAACGUCGCAAGACCAAAGUGGGGGACCUUCGGGCCUCAUGCCAUCAGAUGUGCCCAGAUGGGAUUAGCUAGUAGGUGGGGUAACGGCUCACCUAGGCGACGAUCCCUAGCUGGUCUGAGAGGAUGACCAGCCACACUGGAACUGAGACACGGUCCAGACUCCUACGGGAGGCAGCAGUGGGGAAUAUUGCACAAUGGGCGCAAGCCUGAUGCAGCCAUGCCGCGUGUGUGAAGAAGGCCUUCGGGUUGUAAAGCACUUUCAGCGGGGAGGAAGGCGAUAAGGUUAAUAACCUUGUCGAUUGACGUUACCCGCAGAAGAAGCACCGGCUAACUCCGUGCCAGCAGCCGCGGUAAUACGGAGGGUGCAAGCGUUAAUCGGAAUUACUGGGCGUAAAGCGCACGCAGGCGGUCUGUCAAGUCGGAUGUGAAAUCCCCGGGCUUAACCUGGGAACUGCAUUCGAAACUGGCAGGCUAGAGUCUUGUAGAGGGGGGUAGAAUUCCAGGUGUAGCGGUGAAAUGCGUAGAGAUCUGGAGGAAUACCGGUGGCGAAGGCGGCCCCCUGGACAAAGACUGACGCUCAGGUGCGAAAGCGUGGGGAGCAAACAGGAUUAGAUACCCUGGUAGUCCACGCCGUAAACGAUGUCGAUUUGGAGGUUGUGCCCUUGAGGCGUGGCUUCCGGAGCUAACGCGUUAAAUCGACCGCCUGGGGAGUACGGCCGCAAGGUUAAAACUCAAAUGAAUUGACGGGGGCCCGCACAAGCGGUGGAGCAUGUGGUUUAAUUCGAUGCAACGCGAAGAACCUUACCUGGUCUUGACAUCCACAGAACUUUCCAGAGAUGGAUUGGUGCCUUCGGGAACUGUGAGACAGGUGCUGCAUGGCUGUCGUCAGCUCGUGUUGUGAAAUGUUGGGUUAAGUCCCGCAACGAGCGCAACCCUUAUCCUUUGUUGCCAGCGGUUAGGCCGGGAACUCAAAGGAGACUGCCAGUGAUAAACUGGAGGAAGGUGGGGAUGACGUCAAGUCAUCAUGGCCCUUACGACCAGGGCUACACACGUGCUACAAUGGCAUAUACAAAGAGAAGCGACCUCGCGAGAGCAAGCGGACCUCAUAAAGUAUGUCGUAGUCCGGAUUGGAGUCUGCAACUCGACUCCAUGAAGUCGGAAUCGCUAGUAAUCGUAGAUCAGAAUGCUACGGUGAAUACGUUCCCGGGCCUUGUACACACCGCCCGUCACACCAUGGGAGUGGGUUGCAAAAGAAGUAGGUAGCUUAACCUUCGGGAGGGCGCUUACCACUUUGUGAUUCAUGACUGGGGUGAAGUCGUAACAAGGUAACCGUAGGGGAACCUGCGGUUGGAUCACCUCCUUACCUUAAAGAA
rnacentral:rRNA from 1 species